UACGUAGGGGGCCAGCGUUGCUCGGAAUUACUGGGCGUAAAGGGUUCGUAGGCGGUGUGGCAAGUCGGGCGUGAAAUCUCUGGGCUCAACUCAGAGGCUGCUUCCGAAACUGCCAUGCUUGAGUGCGGGAGAGGCGAGUGGAAUUACAGGUGUAGCGGUGAAAUGCGUAGAUAUCUGUAGGAACACCCGUGGCGAAGGCGGCUCGCUGGACCGCAACUGACGCUGAGGAGCGAAAGCGUGGGGAGCGAACAGG
rnacentral:rRNA from 1 species